rnacentral:rRNA from 1 species
AACGAACGCUGGCGGCGCGCCUAAUACAUGCAAGUCGAGCGAGAAGACGUAGCAAUACGUUUGUAAAGCGGCGAACGGGUGAGGAAUACAUGGGUAACCUACCCUCGAGUGGGGAAUAACUAGCCGAAAGGUUAGCUAAUACCGCGUACGCUCCUUGGACUUCGGUUCAGGGAGGAAAGCGAUACCGUGGGUAUCGCGCUCUUGGAUGGGCUCAUGUCCUAUCAGCUUGUUGGUGAGGUAACGGCUCACCAAGGCUUCGACGGGUAGCUGGUCUGAGAGGACGAUCAGCCACACUGGCACUGCGACACGGGCCAGACUCCUAUGGGAGGCAGCAGUAAGGAAUAUUGCGCAAUGGGCGAAAGCCUGACGCAGCGACGCCGCGUGGGGGAGUGAAGGUCUUCGGAUUGUAAA